AGGACGGAUUUGUAGGUUGUUGGCUUCGACGAGUUGGCUUGCUGGAGCUAACGCGUUAAAUCCACCGCCUGGGGAGUACGGCCGCAAGGUUAAAACUCAAAUGAAUUGACGGGGGCCCGCACAAGCGGUGGAGCAUGUGGUUUAAUUCGAUGCAACGCGAAGAACCUUACCUACUCUUGACAUCCAGAGAAUUUAGCAGAGAUGCUUUAGUGCCUUCGGGAACUCUGAGACAGGUGCUGCAUGGCUGUCGUCAGCUCGUGUUGUGAAAUGUUGGGUUAAGUCCCGCAACGAGCGCAACCCUUAUCCUUUGUUGCCAGCACAUUAUGGUGGGAACUCAAAGGAGACUGCCGGUGAUAAACCGGAGGAAGGUGGGGAUGACGUCAAGUCAUCAUGGCCCUUAACAGUAGGGCUACACACGUGCUACAAUGGCGUAUACAAAGAGAAGCGACCUCGCGAGAGCAAGCGGAACUCAUAAAGUACGUCGUAUUCCGGAUUGGAGUCUGCAACUCGACUCCAUGAAGUCGGAAUCGCUAGUAAUCGUAAAUCAGAAUGCUACGGUGAAUACGUUCCCGGGCCUUGUACACACCGCCCGUCACACCAUGGGAGUGGGUUGCAAAAGAAGUAGGUAGCUUAACCUUCGGGAGGGCGCUUACCACUUUGUGAUUCAUGACUGGGGUGAAGUC
rnacentral:rRNA from 1 species